GCCACUUUAGCUCAGUUGGUAGAGCAGCCGUUUUGUAAACGGCAGGUCGUCAGUUCGAGCCUGACAAGUGGCU
rnacentral:tRNA from 1 species